GACAGAGGGUGCAAACGUUGUUCGGAAUUACUGGGCGUAAAGCGCGUGUAGGCGGCUUGGCAAGUCGGUUGUGAAAUCCCCGGGGCCCAACCCCGGAACUGCAUUCGAAACUGCCUCGCUAGAGUCCCGGAGAGGAAGGCGGAAUUCCCCGGUGUAGAGGUGAAAUUCGUAGAUAUCGGGAGGAACACCAGCCGGCGAAGGCGGC
rnacentral:rRNA from 1 species